UCAAGGUGUAUCCGUUCCCAAUUGAUCAUUGAUUGUUACUGACAAAACAUUCGAGGCCAAUGAUGCAUCCAUGUGCGUGUCACACUGUUUAUAUUAUUCAACCGGGGAUGUAUCGUAUAUAUUAUAAUCUUGCAACGAUAGGUUUCGUGUUGCGCGAAGGUGAGACGCGCCGCGGGGAAGACGGAGUCUCGAGCAAAACAAAGAGAGUCAUUUACGCUGCGAGCGAAAAUCACGCACGCCGAAAUCGUACAAUCGAGCGCGCCAAUUAGCGUCGAACUCGCGGCCAGUAGACCUUUGCGCGCGCCAAUCAGCGUCGCGAAAUUGAACUUCGUGCAAUGGGGACACUCUCCAUGGUCCGGAUUCGGUUACUAAGAUCGCGAACGCGACACCGAUCAGACAGCAUUUCGUUCCAUCUGACGGAGUUUUUUUGCAAAUUUUCCUCCAAUAAUCACUUUUUUUACUAAAUUCUCACUACCCGUAACUCCAAAUACGUCAAUUAUCUGGUAAGCCUGGAUUACAGGCUGGAACGGAUUCAAUCACAUAGCACUCCAAAAAAAGAAAAAAACGAUCAGGCAGCGUUUCUCCGGGAGCCCGACAGUAAGGAGAUUUUGCGUAACUGGCUCCCAAAAAGCUCUAUGCCGCCGCCCCCAUUCGGGUCCCAGGUCCUUCUGGUUCCGCGCGGGAAUUAGAUCUCGUGGCACGUGCGAGUUGAAGGCGUGCAAAAUCUUCGUUGGUUCUCCAGUUUGUCCGAGCGACUCGUCCGCAAUUUGGGCCAUUUUUCGAGAUUUUGGGUCAGGUUCCCGAUUUUUUUCAUUUUUUCAUUAAAUAUUUAUUGAUUAAAUAUUUAUAUAUUAAUAAAUAAUUUAAAAAUAUA